GCCCCAGUGGCCUAAUGGAUAAGACACUGGCCUCCUAAGCCAGGGAUCGUGGAUUUGAGUCCCACCUGGGGUA
rnacentral:tRNA from 1 species